rnacentral:rRNA from 1 species
GAAGGCCUUCGGGUUGUAAACCUCUUUCGCCGGGACGAAGAGGACGGGACCCGAAGAGCAAGGCCCGGGUAGCUUCGUGCCAGGAGCCCCGGGAAUA